GCUUUUUUUUUUUUUUCCCCCCUCCUUGCGGGUUUACUCUGUCAUACAUUUUUAGACAGGUUCCUUGACUGGCAUGCCAGAAAACUGUUCUGCAGCAGGAGAAGGCAAUAGAAUCUUCAUUAGUCCACUGGAGGCACUCCUGCUCUAUCAGUGACCUCAGCCUACAGUUCAGUGCUGCUGGAAAGGGAAAAACACCAUUCCACUCCUG
rnacentral:lncRNA from 12 species